rnacentral:rRNA from 1 species
GACGGAGGAUGCAAGCGUUAUCCGGAAUGAUUGGGCGUAAAGCGUCCGCAGGUGGCAGUUCAAGUCUGCUGUCAAAGACCGGGGCUUAACUUCGGAAAGGCAGUGGAAACUGAACAGCUAGAGUAUGGUAGGGGCAGAGGGAAUUCCUGGUGUAGCGGUGAAAUGCGCAGAUAUCAGGAGGAACACCGAUGGCGAAGGCAGUUCUCUGGGCCGUAACUGACGCUGAGGAGCGAAAGCGUGGGGAGCGAACAGG